CGACCACAUACACAACUGAAUGUGAAGACAAUUACCAAGGACACUUAUGUUUGCUCAAAGAAUGAGGUGUGCUGGAGAUGUUACUGCCCUCACAGAGACGACACAGGUCAACCCAAGACAGGACAUGAGUGACAAUGAAAGAGGUCAGGGUGUGGAGGAGCCUCCAGAUGAGGAGCGCCGGCCUGUGGAGCAGCCUCCCCCAAUGGAAGGUGGACAAGAGGAGCAAGAUGAAAGAUUGAGAAAUCAACAAGCACAAAUCGAAUCACUGACGAGUAUAAAUACUGUUCUGAGACAUAAUCAUGUACCAAAUAGAUUAACACCAGAGGUCUUGCAGCACAGCCGUGUACCAGCCUAUUUCAAAUAUGCCACUGGAUUCACUUAUGAUCAAUUCAACAAUCUAUGUACUGUGUUUAGUAUACCUAGCAGUGAAACAGCACAGCAAACUUCAGUCCCAUUGACAUAUAGCAGAACUGAUUGGCAAAUUAACACAAUGCCCCUGCAUGUGCAGCUCUUGCUUGUUCUUAUGAAACUGAGACAAAAUCAUGAUUUAAAAGAUUUGGCAUUUAUGAUUGAUGAACGUAGUGUUGGUAUUUUGUUAAAGGCAUGGGUGGACUACAUGUUCACAGUUCUAGGGGAACUACCCGCAUGGCCUCAUAGAGACAUAAUAAUGGCACAAAUGCCAGGAAAGUACAGAGGAAUUUCCUACAACGAUGGCAAUAUUAGACUGUACAGAGUUACAAAUUCAAACCCCAACUUCACUUGUAUUGCAGAGCCAAAGCUACUCAACCUACAAGUCUGCAAACACAUUGAAAUCCCUCAUAGCAUGUGAUCCACGAGGUUCUGUAAUAUUUUGUUCAACUCUUUUCACUGGAUCUAUGUCUGACAAAGAAAUAGUUAGGCAGAGCAACUUUAUUGAGCUAAUGAAAAAUCUGCUUAAACAUGGCUAUCUGCAGGAAGGGGAUGGGUUUAUGGUAGAUAAAGGAUUUUUAAUUGAAAAUGACCUACACGAAAUUGGACUUGAAAUAAACAUCCCACCCUUCGUCAGAGGAAAAAGGCAGAUGCCCUCUACAGAUGUCUGCCUGACAAAAAAAGUGGCUGCACACAGGAUACAUGUUGAACGUGCUAUAUCAAAGAUAAAGAAAUGUAAAAUUGUGUCGGAGAGGAUCCCUAACAUAAGGUUGAGAAACAUCAACCAGAUCUGGUAUGUUGUGAGUAUUCUGUCUAACUUCCAGCCUGCAUCCUCAAGAAUACCAUUACCUCAAGCCACAACCAAUGGGGUAGUCCUUUCCACCUACUGCUACCUGUAUACGGGUCUGGUUAAAGAUGUAGCUUAUAGGUGUGCCUCUCAUUCCUCUCAGUGUCUUGUAUGUUUCCUCAGAUUCCUGACUCCUAAAGGCAGAAAGAUACAUGUUACUGUUAACUGUGUUAUGCAUAGUAUUAACUAUUCACUGUAGAAAUGUAUCUGAUGUUGUGCCUAGGCUAUUAUUCUUUCACAUCAAACUGCAUGACGGUGCAAACAUUUUUUUUCAAUAAACUGUGA